AUUGGAAAAGCACUUAAAAGGCCCUUGAACCUCGCCAGGUCCGAAAGGAAGCAACGAUUGAGGAUCCCUUUUAAGGUGCUUUUCCUUUAAA
rnacentral:SRP_RNA from 1 species